UUUUUUUUUCCCCUUCUUCUUCCUUCUCCAUCGAUUUCUUUCACCGUUCAUCAUCUCUCAACUGCUCCCAUCUUCUUCUCAGAAGUUUCUGUCCACCACCAUCACCAUCCACAGCGGUGCCAGAUUCUCCACCAUCAUCAUCAUCACGUCCAUCUUUUUUACUAUCAUCAGAAGAUUUAGGUUAAUUAUUAGGUGUUCCUUCAAUUUCAGUACCCUAAUUUCUUCGUUCAUUGAUGUGAUUUUUCCUUCAAUUUCAGUGUUGUUGAACUAAUUUGUUCACCAAACAUCGAAAUUGAAGAAGAAAUCGACGGAAUUUGGGGAAAUUAAAAUUAUUGCACCCCUCCUAAUUUCAAUAUCGGUUUUAACUUCAAUUGUUAUUGUUACAUCUUGUUGUGUAUCAUAGGUAUUGAACCGAGAGUCUACGGUAAUGGAGUUUACACAGGGUUGAGGAGUUCAGGAAAUUGGCGAGAUCAUGUCGAGAUGGAAAAGCACUUGCAUGGCAGGUGACAAUUACAAAACUCUGACCAUAGCAGCUGUGGUGAGGACGAGCAUCCAUUAAAUGAGUUACUCAUCUUGCAGCUCGGAUCCGAGCACCCCAACGGCCGUUACAACAUUUCUUUAUGUAAGAUUUUUGGUAGUCAUUGGAACCAUGAGAAAAGAAGGUUUCCACAAGGAGCAGAGACUGAAUUGGUAUGCUAUGCUGUUAAUGAAACUAGAUUUAUUCUGAAUUCUCCAGAAAACUUCUAUAUGAAUAAAGGAGAGCAACAUAAGAGAGCUAGUGAAACAAAACCAGAGCAAGCUGUGUUGCGCGACUCAGGUUCGUUCUCUUGAUUAUUUAACAUUACAUAAAACUGAUUUUGCAACCUUUCCUAAAUAUUCUUCAGAUGCUGUACACGCAAAGAAACGGAAAACAAGUGAUUCUAAGCCAUGCGAAGUGGAAUCCGAACAAGAAGAACACUCCCUUUCAUUGUCGCAGCAUUCAUCUCCUUCCCAAUCUGACCAAGUGCAGACACCGAUUAAAGCAACACCUCGUCCAUUAUGUUUGUUGAAGCAAUGUUUUCAGAAUCCAAAUGUAAACAAUGUCGUAGAGACUCAACCCCAUCAGAUUAAUAGCAUUCAAAGAAGCCCACGAGAUUUUUCAUUUUGUAUCUGGAGAAAAUCCUUGACACCCCCCAAAGCAAGAACAGUUUCCACAUACGAACAUAGGAUCGCAAACCAAUUGAAGCUAUGCCAGUGCAUUCCUUGAUUGGAGCUGAUGUUCGAGGUAAAGUGGAUGGAGCGGUAAAGUGGAUGGAGCGUUCGAUUAGGGAUUCCUAAUGACUAAAAAUGUUAAUGGCAAGAUCCUUAGAGGAAUCUUAUUUGCUCCUGCAAGUAUUAUCAAUAAUUCAAAGGUUUCCUUGCGUAAUGUAUUAAAAACAUUAAUUAACGAUUGUGGCCUAAUUGUGUUUAGGGAAACGGGUUUGUACCAAGGGGUCGUUCUUCCUGACUUCCUCCGAGUUCACCAGCUUUAGGUAAUUUAGUUUUGCGUCAAUUUUUUCGGUCCGCCAUCCCACCGUG